ensembl:lncRNA
GCGCACGCCUGUAAUCCCAGCACUCGCCUGUAAUCCCAGCACUCGGGAGGCUGAGGCAGGAGGAUCCAUGCAAGUUCAAGGUGAAAAGGGUGAAGGUGCAGAGAGCUCUACAGUCAUCUGAUGGGAAGAGAAGGGGAUUUGUUGUGUUCUUGUUGCCAGACCCAGGCCUACUGCACGGUCACAGCACGAAUCCAACAGCAACAGCUCGCAACAGGACUGUUUUUUUGUUUUUUGAAAGAAGUAAAGAAAACUGUGACUCAUCCCGCUACUCAAGCGUGUAGAGCACUUGCUGCUUCCGAUAUGUG